AUUGAACGCUGGCGGCAGGCCUAACACAUGCAAGUCGAGCGGAGCGGCCGACGGGCGAGUAAUUCCUAGGUAUCUGCCUGGCAGUGGGGGAUAACAUCCUGAUACGGGCGCUAAUACCGCCUACUAUCUGAUGAGCCUAGUGGUGAUUAGCUAGUUGGUGGGGUAAGGGCUUACCAAGGCGACGAUCCGUAACUGGUCUGAGAGGAUGAUCAGUCACACUGGAACUGAGACACGGUCCAGACUCCUACGGGAGGCAGCAGUGGGGAAUAUUGGACAAUGGGCGAAAGCCUGAUGCAGCCAUGCCGCGUGAGUGAAGAAGGGCUUCGGAUUGUAAAGCACUUUAAGUUGGGAGGCGUUACCAACAGAAUAAGCACCGGCUAACUUCGUGCCAGCAGCCGCGGUAAUUC
rnacentral:rRNA from 1 species